rnacentral:ncRNA from 1 species
GAGAGCCGUAUGAUAGGAAACUAUCCCGUACGGUUCGGGAAAGGGUGCGUAUACUAGUAAUAAGUAUACGUAUCUAGUUCAU